AAUCUCCAACCCAUUUGCCUAAUCCACGUGGAUUUGACAUAAGAGUCUUCUCUGUCAAAUUUGACAGCUUCCUCCGUUUCUGUCUUUUAUUUUUUUGUUCUUUGUUUCUCUCUCUCUCUCUCACUCUCUUUCCCUUUCAUGUCUUUCUUCCUCUCCUCUCACCCAGAAAUUCAAGCUUUCCUCUCUUCAAGUUUCUUUUCUCUUCUUGAAUAUUAGGAACAUUGAUCAAAAUUUAUCAGAUUCAUCUUCAGAUGCUGCAAAUGAGGAAUUUUGGGAUCUUGCCAAUUCAUCAUCAGACAAAGAAUUGAUGAAUCUGGAGAUUGCUGCUCUACAAGAGAAGGGAAGAAGAAGACGUCGGGGCUCAAUUCCUGGUCGCAUAUAUAAAGAUAGACAACGAUUGCAAGGUCAGGAAACACUAUACAAUGAUUAUUUUGCUGAAAAUCCUGUUCAUGAAGAAGUUGUAUUUUGGAGAAGGUUUCGGAUGCAUCAACAUGUUUUUCUUCGAAGUCUAGCUGCAGUUGAAGCUCAUGACUCCUAUUUUGUUCAAAAAAGGGAUUCAGCAGGCCGUCUUGGGCUAUCAUCUCUACAAAAAGUUACCGCUGCAAUGAGGAUGCUUGCCUAAUAUCAGCUGAGAUAGAAAAGGUUAAGAAGAGAAGGGAGGUAAGAGCACUUGAAAAAGCUCAACAUGAGGAAGAAAUGGCGCUGCUUGCCAGAGAACGCGCUCGGGCUGAGUUCCAAGACUGGGAGAAAAAAGAAGAAGAGUUCCACUUUGAUCAAAGCAAAAUGAGGUCAGAGAUCAGAUUGCUUGAAGGGCGUAUCAAGCCAAUUGAUGUACUUUCAAUUAUAUGUAUUCCCAUAUCUCAAAUGUCUCAUAAUCUCAAUUGCAUCUCAAUUGCAUCUCUCAAUUGCAUCUCAAUUGAUUUACAAGAUAAAAAAAACAAAAAAACAACAAAAAUAGAAUUUUAUAUAUUAAAGUAAUAUUCAAAUUUGACAUAGCCAUUGGAGCUUAAAGGAUGUCAAAAUGUUGUUAUAUCAAAUUUGCCAUGUCAUAUGUCAAAUUCAAAUUUGACCCAAACCAAAAGAAAAAGCCAUUGGAGAUGC